UAGCAUAUCAAUAAGCGGAGGAAAAGAAACUAACAAGGAUUCCCCUAGUAACGGCGAGUGAAGCGGGAUGAGCUCAAAUUUGUAAUCUGGCGGCCUGUGGUCGUCCGAGUUGUAGUCUGGAGAAGCGUCUUCCGCGUCGGACCGUGUACAAGUCCCUUGGAACGGGGCGUCGUAGAGGGUGAGAAUCCCGUCUUUGACACGGACUGCCGAUGCUAUGCGAUGCGCUCUCGAAGAGUCGAGUUGUUUGGGAAUGCAGCUCAAAACGGGUGGUAAAUUCCAUCUAAAGCUAAAUAUGGGCAAAAGACCGAUAGCGAACAAGUACCGUGAGGGAAAGAUGAAAAGCACUUUGAAAAGAGAGUCAAAUAGUACGUGAAAUUGUUGAAAGGGAAACGCUUGAAGUCAGUCGCGUCUCCCGGGACUCAGCCUUGCUUUGUUGCUCGGCGUACUUCCCGGGGCGACGGGCCAGCAUCGGUUUCGAUCGUCGGAGAAAGGCCGGUUGGGAAUGUGGCACCCUCGGGUGUGUUAUAGCCCUGGGUCGUAUGCGACGGUUGGGACCGAGGACCGCAGCACGCCUUCAUUGGCCGGGGGGACGCCCCACGUAACGUGCUUAGGAUGCUGGCGUAAUGGCUUUAAGCGACCCGUCUUGAAACACGGACCAAGGAGUCUAACAUGCGUGCGAGUGUUUGGGUGGAAAACCCGGACGCGAAAUGAAAGUGAAAGGUUGGGACCCUUGUCGUGGGGGGCACCGACGCCCGGGCCGGAGCCUUCGGGUGAUGGCUCCGAGGUAGAGCAUGUAUGCUGGGACCCGAAAGAUGGUGAACUAUGCCUGAGUAGGGUGAAGCCAGAGGAAACUCUGGUGGAGGCUCGUAGCGAUUCUGACGUGCAAAUCGAUCGUCGAACUUGGGUAUAGGGGCGAAAGACUAAUCGAACCAUCUAGUAGCUGGUUCCUGC
rnacentral:rRNA from 1 species